GAUGAACGCUGGCGGCGUGCCUAAUACAUGCAAGUCGAGCGAACAGACGAGGAGCUUGCUCCUCUGACGUUAGCGGCGGACGGGUGAGUAACACGUGGAUAACCUACCUAUAAGACUGGGAUAACUUCGGGAAACCGGAGCUAAUACCGGAUAAUAUAUUGAACCUCAUGGUUCAAUAGUGAAAGACGGUUUUGCUGUCACUUAUAGCUGGAUCCGCGCCGCAUUAGCUAGUUGGUAAGGUAACGGCUUACCAAGGCAACGAUGCGUAGCCGACCUGAGAGGGUGAUCGGCCACACUGGAACUGAGACACGGUCCAGACUCCUACGGGAGGCAGCAGUAGGGAAUCUUCCGCAAUGGGCGAAAGCCUGACGGAGCAACGCCGCGUGAGUGAUGAAGGUCUUCGGAUCGUAAAACUCUGUUAUUAGGGAAGAACAAAUGUGUAAGUAACUAUGCACGUCUUGACGGUACCUAAUCAGAAAGCCACGGCUAACUACGU
rnacentral:rRNA from 1 species